AUACGGAGGGUGCAAGCGUUAAUCGGAAUUACUGGGCGUAAAGCGUGCGUAGGCGGUUUGUUAAGUCGGAUGUGAAAGCGCCGGGCUCAACCUGGGAACUGCAUUCGAAACUGGCAGGCUAGAGUAUGGUAGAGGGAAGUGGAAUUCCGGGUGUAGCGGUGAAAUGCGUAGAUAUCCGGAGGAACAUCAGUGGCGAAGGCGGCUUCCUGGACCAAUACUGACGCUGAGGCGCGAAAGCGUGGGGAGCAAACAGGAUUAGAAACCCCGGUAGUCC
rnacentral:rRNA from 1 species